GCAUUGCUGAAGAGUCCCAAACUAGGACGAAACAGUUGUCUAGUAC
rnacentral:hammerhead_ribozyme from 1 species